rnacentral:misc_RNA from 1 species
GAUGAAGAACGUAGCGAAAUGCGAUAAGUAAUGUGAAUUGCAGAAUUCCGUGAAUCAUCGAAUCUUUGAACGCACAUUGCGCCCUCUGGUAUUCCGGGGGGCAUGCCUGUCCGAGCGUCAUUGCUGCCCUCAAGCACGGCUUGUGUGUUGGGCCUCCGUCCUCCUCCCGGGGGACGGGCCCGAAAGGCAGCGGCGGCACCGCGUCCGGUCCUCGAGCGUAUGGGGCUUCGUCACCCGCUCUUGUAGGCCCGGUCGGCGCUUGCCGACACAUCAAUCUUUUUUCCAGGUUGACCUCGGAUCAGGUAGGGAUACCCGCUGAACUUAAGCAUAUCAAUAAGCGGAGGA